rnacentral:lncRNA from 1 species
AUGUGGAGAAGGAUGCUUUCUUCUCCUGCCCCACCAAACUCAGCCGUCGCGUCUCGGCGCUCCUGCUCCGUGCAUGUCCCAGAGCUGCCUUCCUGCCAGCCAGCGACGGGGGACCAGGAUCGCUGGGCUCAGACCCAUGACUUGACUGACACGAAAGCUUUCCAGCUUCAGAGACUGAAAGAGACAAAUGAGCAAUUUGCUGGGAAAUUAUCCUUUGGGAUUCCUCCUCUCUCCAAGCAACUUAAUUGGUGCUACCAGCUGCUGUGCCCAAUCCACGAGGGGCCGCCCCUGGCAGUGACAGCAAGCCAUCAAGCCCGAGCCCGUCUCCCCGCUCUGACGGAGGAGCCAGCUGGAGAUGGACCAAGGUGUCAACGGGACGGGAUGCACCGCAGAUCUCUGGGCAGAGGUGGCUAGAGGAUGUUUCACUCCUGUGCAGAAAGGACGUCCAAGGGCCGAGUGCUCAGUCCUGGGCCAUGGGAUUUCGGGACGGGACUUCCCCAAAGUACCCCUUGGCACUGGGAAGGUGCUUGGGCAGAGGUACACCUGUUGUGCAAUUGGACCCUCUUGUGCAAACCUGGCUUUUGUCUCACACUGACGCCGCCCAAAGCCAGCAGCAGCUGGGAUGGCUUUAUUGUUAUUGUGGAAACAGUGGCUGAUGAUUGCGGUGUUAAUCAGGCUCUUUAUGGCCCUCUGUGAAGCUACCCAAAUGAAAUAUUUUGCCUCCCGUAUUUUCUGCUGCUCUUCCAGCUGCAAGGCCAAGAGCUGGUGGCGAGGCAGCAGCCUCCCGAGGGAGUGAGGGCCCAGGGUAAACGGCGCGAUCGCUUUGGAGGCAAAAUGCAGGGCUCAGGGCUUCCCGAAGGAGAUCUGUACGAGGAUGAUGCUGAGGGGCUCAGAGCUGCUGGGGGAGCUUUUGGGAGUGCAGGAUGAGGCGUCUCUGCCCCGGCGCGCGGCCAUCAUCGCAUGUCCCCCAGGGUGCAAGGCAGGUCCCUUUACCCAGCCUAGCGUUGUUCCCGCUGCUCCAUCCUCCGCCGAAACGGCUCCCUGAGCUCCUGAGGCCACGACAAGCUCCCCCUGCCAUUAAUCACCCCCUCCGACCGGUGUCUGCGGAGGAAUUAAACUCAUUUGUCACUGUUGCCCUGUUCCCACCUGCCCUUCUCCCAGCGCGCUCGUCUCACGGGACGCCCUGUGUCCCCCCGACCUCCUCGGGUGCCCUUCACCCAGCAAUCCCAGGGCAAGGCUGAGCCAUUUCCGUGCUCAGCGCCCACCCCUGAAACCGGGGCUAACCAGUGCCAAGGCAUAGCGGGAAAUUCCCUGCUAGCUGCGAGGCUGAGCCAACCCCUUUGCUCCACCGAAGCCACCAGGAGAUGUUAACGAGCAUCAUGUGUCCUGCCUGCCCACAGCAGCCGGGAUUGAAGUGUCCUCCCCUGCCCCAAGCUGCUCAGCACCCUGCACUGCAGGCGAAACCUCAGUCAGGACUGUCACUCACAGAGCAACAGGUUUAAUUCCACCCUCCUCCGUCCCCCGGUGCUACGCAACCUCGACACGCUCGCUAAAACCCGCUCUGGUGGCGCUGUGCUCCAGCUUGCAGCACAGCCCAUGGGAACGCUCCCCCGGUAGCAAACAAGAGCUGCUCAUUAAUUAGCCUCCCGUUAUUCCAGAGCAUCCCCUGCAAUAACGCACAGCUCCUGCCUUUUAACUACCUACAAGCAAUCACUCAGCCUCCAAUUAAAAAAAAAAAAAAAAGAAGAAGGAACAAGCCCCCCGUCAUGUUGUUAGCAAUAAUUUUCCUGGCUGUUAACCUGCUCCUCUGCUCUAAUUUUUCACUAUACAGCCCCAGAGGCUAUGGGGAAGGAUGGGAGCCAAGCACAGCACCGGGCCUGCUGCUGUCUUGCUGCUAGCCACCCCUAGCCGUGCUUUUAGAGGUGGUUCGAGGCUGAACUGCUUUAAAGGUAAAGCCAUCAUCUUAUUCCUGCCUCUAAAGUUUGCCCUGUCUGCCUGAUCUCUGUGCUGGCUUUGCAGGGCGCGGAGGGCGUGCUAGCAUGGGUCUGUCCGUCCGCAGAGCCUCUUGCACCAGCAGUCGUAUGCAAGAGAGAGUUUUUAUUAUCAGCCGCUUUGCUGCGGGCCAGGGUAUUAUUAGCUGGAAGGCAUCGCCUNNNNNNNNNNNNNNNNNNNNNNNNNNNNNNNNNNNNNNNNNNNNNGUGGGGCUGCAGCCACGGGAGCCUGCAGCAGCGCGGGCUGCGCUGGGCUCGGGGGCGCCGCCUGGGCUCCCGGCGGCUGCCUUGGACAGAGAGCAAGGAGCCUACAGAUUUAUGUGAAAAAGGAUGGAAAAUGUGAAUGGCUAUAAUUGGGGCUUUUUGCUUUAGUCCUGGAAAUCCUAUGUCAGUCUUGGAAACGCAGUCUGUGCCCCUAAACAUCUUAUAGUCUGAGGAAAACACGGGCUUGUCGGAGAUGCCAGCCUUGCUGGGCUAUUCCCAAGGAGCCGGCUGUUUUCUUCUCUUGUUGCCUGUAAAUCCCCGACACGCUUAAAGCCUCUCCCCUGAUAGGGAGCCUAGCGCCUGAGCUCUGAAUAAACCUGCGCAAACUCUGCGGCUUAGCA